AUGGCGGCCGCUUCCUCCCUCCGGAACGCCCUUUUUCCACUCCUCCGCAAGCGCAUCGCCAUGGCGCGACGGAUGUCGACGACCGGCACCGGCACCGGGGCAGGGAUCACCGGCGGAGGCAGCGGGACCGGAGGGGCGGCCAACUCCGGCGGAGCCAGGACGACCGGAUCCGGCGGCGCGUCAAACUCCGGUGGGAGGAUGGCGGGCGGCGGCUCCGCGGGCAACUCAGGCGGCAGCGGAGGGGCGACGGGGCUGGAAGAGCUCAGGAGAGACGCAUUGAAGGAGACUGGGCGCCUGCUGGAUGUCUACAACAAGCUGUCAGACGUGGACACGAAGCUCCUUGAGGAGCUUGCGCGUUUGGAGAGGGAGAAUCUGAAGAACAGCGUGAGAGCCAAGGAGAAUCGGUCCUCCAUCACCUACGGGCUGCUGGGUUCCGGAGCGGCCGUCUUCCUCACCAUCUCAUCUUGGCUGGGCCAGUACAUCCAGGGGUGCGUGGUACAUGAUGCGGCCAAAGAGGUCGUGGAAAUGCAGAGACUUCGCAAGCUUGACGCGCUCAUCGAUGGCCUAGGUGAGGAGGGAGCUGCUGACAAGACUGCUGCGGCCAGCGCCAAUGUCGACACCAAAUGA
rnacentral:rRNA from 1 species